rnacentral:rRNA from 1 species
CACGUAGGGUGCGAGCGUUGUCCGGAAUUAUUGGGCGUAAAGAGCUCGUAGGCGGUGUGUCGCGUCGGCCGUGAAAACCUGCAGCUUAACUGUGGGCUUGCGGUCGAUACGGGCAUCACUGGAGUUCGGCAGGGGAGACUGGAAUUCCUGGUGUAGCGGUGAAAUGCGUAGAUAUCAGGAGGAAUACCGGUGGCGAAAGCGACUCUCUGGACGGUAACUGGACGGCUGAGGCACGAAAGCGUGGGGAGCAAACAGG